rnacentral:rRNA from 1 species
UACGGAGGGUGCUAGCGUUGUUCGGAAUUACUGGGCGUAAAGGGCGCGUAGGCGGCCGUUUGCGUCGGAUGUGAAAGCCCGGGGCUCAACCUCGGAACGGCAUUCGAUACGGGACGGCUGGAGACCGGGAGAGGAGAGUGGAAUAGCCAGUGUAGAGGUGAAAUUCGUAGAUAUCAGGAGGAACACCGGUGGCGAAAGCGGCUUCCUGGCCCGACAUUGACGCUCAUGUACGAGAGCGUGGGGAGCAAACAGG